rnacentral:rRNA from 1 species
ACGCUCGACACCUACGGCAGCAGUGGGGAAUAUUGGGCAAUGGGCGCAAGCCUGACCCAGCAACGCCGCGUGAAGGAUGAAGGCUUUCGGGUUGUAAACUUCUUUUAUCAGGGACGAAACAAAUGACGGUACCUGAUGAAUAAGCCACGGCUAACUACGUGCCAGCAGCCGCGUAAUCUGAGGCGGGCUGGCGAAGGC